rnacentral:rRNA from 1 species
GACGAACGCUGGCGGCGUGCUUAACACAUGCAAGUCGAACGGAAAGGCCCUGCUUUUGUGGGGUGCUCGAGUGGCGAACGGGUGAGUAACACGUGAGUAACCUGCCCUUGACUUUGGGAUAACUUCAGGAAACUGGGGCUAAUACCGGAUAGGAGCUCCUGCUGCAUGGUGGGGGUUGGAAAGUUUCGGCGGUUGGGGAUGGACUCGCGGCUUAUCAGCUUGUUGGUGGGGUAGUGGCUUACCAAGGCUUUGACGAGUAGCCGGCCUGAGAGGGUGACCGGCCACAUUGGGACUGAGAUACGGCCCAGACUCCUACGGGAGGCAGCAGUGGGGAAUAUUGCACAAUGGGCGGAAGCCUGAUGCAGCAACGCCGCGUGCGGGAUGACGGCCUUCGGGUUGUAAUCCGCUUUCGCCUGUGACGAAGCGUGAGUGACGGUAAUGGGUAAAGAAGCACCGGCUAACUACGUG